rnacentral:rRNA from 1 species
UACGGAGGGUCCAAGCGUUAUCCGGAAUCAUUGGGUUUAAAGGGUCCGUAGGCGGUUUUGUAAGUCAGUGGUGUAAAGCCCAUCGCUCAACGGUGGAACGGCCAUUGAUACUGCAAGACUUGAAUUAUUGGGAAGUAACUAGAAUAUGUAGUGUAGCGGUGAAAUGCUUAGAGAUUACAUGGAAUACCAAUUGCGAAGGCAGGUUACUACCAAUAUAUUGACGCUGAUGGACGAAAGCGUUGGGGAGCGAA